rnacentral:misc_RNA from 1 species
GAACCAACGCGACUAACAACCCCGGACCACAAUCCUUGAUUGGAAGCGAUAGGAUUUCCCCUCCCCGGAUUUGUCCGAGCAGACAUAGUCGUCCUAUCCGGCAGUCUGAAAUGGGGAAUCACCUUCGGCAAUACGAACACUCCGACCAUUACUGUAGUGAUCACAAUCAGUCGCGUCCAAAUCCAGCGCCUUGUUCGUAAUUGGACCACAACACAGAAGCACAACCAGAUUACGAACGAGGCUAACACGACCUCCCACGAAUUAGCUUUCAUAAGCAGUAUCAGGCUGAGGGCCACGAGCGCUCCUCCGGCACUUCGAAUGGCGUGUUUGGUGUACAGUUCCGGACGAAU